UGAAAGUCCUAUGUUUUUGAAGUAAGGGACUUGAAAUUUAAAAUGUAUGCUCUAUAGAUGGUGAAAAGAUGUCCAAAUAAUGUAUCUUUAGAAAUCAACCCCUUCUUGGGGUUGAAACGGGGGAUGGUACGUUGACUCACUGAUCACGAAAUCUCCGAAACUAUAACACCUACAAACUUGAAAUUUGGCAGAAAAGCUCCUUAUAAGACGUAAACAUCCGCUAAGAACGAAUUUUACGAAAAU
rnacentral:misc_RNA from 1 species